UGUCGGCAAGAAAUUUUGUUCAAAGUCAGCUGUGACAGGCCACUUCACAGCUUUGACCAGACUGAGGAUAAAAGUCUUAGAAGAGCGUUACACUCAAAUUUAAAUACAGUACUUUUGUCCAAAUUAAAGAGUUGGAUAAUGGUGUGUAAAAAGGCAAAACAAAUGACAAUCUAUACACUUA